rnacentral:rRNA from 1 species
UACCAGCACCCCGAGUGGUCGGGACGAUUAUUGGGCCUAAAGCAUCCGUAGCCGGUCCUACAAGUCUUCCGUUAAAUCCACCUGCUUAACAGAUGGGCUGCGGAAGAUACUAUAGGGCUAGGAGGCGGGAGAGGCAAGCGGUACUCAGUGGGUAGGGGUAAAAUCCUCUGAUCCAUUGAAGACCACCAGUGGCGAAGGCGGCUUGCCAGAAUGCGCUCGACGGUGAGGGAUGAAAGCUGGGGGAGCAAACCGG